rnacentral:sRNA from 1 species
UAAAUUUGAUUUUCAUAUCUUAAAUUUAAAAUUUACAUGAAAUUUUGAAACUGUCUGAUACACUGUAACUAUGAAAAGUUGAGAGAGAUUGGAUGCUGAACACAAUCUACACAUUUUCUUCAUUUAAGUAUACAAUGCAAGUAUGAUAACAUUUUUUUUUUCAUCAUCUACAUACACAUUAAUUAUGGGACUGUCACACAUCAUUUUUAUCAGAUCCAGAAUUUAAAACAUCUAUGAAAUCCUUGUUUGUGUAUUGUUGCAUGAAAGUGCCAAAUUGUGUAGUUCAUUUUAGUAAGGAUGCAAGUUGUAUUUGUUGUGGAGUAAUUGUAUAUAUUACAUACUGCAAACUAGCUUUUAUUUGAGAGCAAGAAAAUGUUUCAGGUGUUCAUUGCCAAGCUAAGUACAUGUGUACUAGCCUCUGGUAUUUGUAUUAGAAAAAGGAACCUUGAAAAGAGAUGUCCCAAAUAAAAGUUUGUUUACAGUAUUGGAGUAAGUCAGGGAAACUCACUUUUGCUUGUGUUUUCUCUCCUAAAUCAACAUGAACAUUGUAUAAGGGAAUCACUUCAUUGCCAUUAACAAAUCAAGCUGAACUUCAUUGAACUAACAACUAAUAUAAGGUAUAUACUCUUACAAGUUUGGGUAUCAGUUUCAAAGGGCAUUUUGGUGAUCGUCUCCAUUUGUAUCCCAACUACACGGCUAAUGAUAGUUCAGUUGUAAAUAUGUUUUGUGAGUAUAUUUGACUUGUUCACAGCUGUACUUGUAUUAUGCAUUUAAAGUUCACAUACAUUUGUAUGUAUUUGAAUAAAUAUUUUUCACCCUUGC